GGAAGGGUACAGCUCAAUGGUAGAGUGUGUGCUUAGCAUGCACGAGGUCCUGGGUUCAAUCCCCAGUACCUCCA
rnacentral:tRNA from 1 species